UGGGGAAUAUUGGACAAUGGGCGCAAGCCUGAUCCAGCCAUGCCGCGUGAGUGAUGAAGGCCCUAGGGUUGUAAAGCUCUUUCAGCGAGGAGGAUAAUGACGUUACUCGCAGAAGAAGCCCCGGCUAACUUCGUGCCAGCAGCCGCGGUAAUACGAAGGGGGCUAGCGUUGUUCGGAAUCACUGGGCGUAAAGCGCACGUAGGCGGACUUUUAAGUCAGGGGUGAAAUCCCGGGGCUCAACCUCGGAACUGCCUUUGAUACUGGAAGUCUGGAGUCCGAGAGAGGUGAGUGGAACUCCGAGUGUAGAGGUGAAAUUCGUAGAUAUUCGGAAGAACACCAGUGGCGAAGGCGGCUCACUGGCUCGGUACUGACGCUGGGGUGCGAAAGCGUGGGGAGCAAACAGGAUUAGAUACCCUGGUAGUCCACGCCGUAAACGAUGGAAGCUAGCCGUCAGGGUGCAUGCAUCUUGGUGGCGCAGUUAACGCAUUAAGCUUCCCGCCUGGGGAGUACGGUCGCAAGAUUAAAAACUCAAAUGAAUUGACGGGGUCAUAGCUGUUUCCU
rnacentral:rRNA from 1 species